UACGUAGGGGGCAAGCGUUGUCCGGAUUUAUUGGGCGUAAAGAGCGUGUAGGCGGUUCGGUAGGUCCGUUGUGAAAACUCGAGGCUCAACCUCGAGACGUCGGUUGAAACCAUCUGGCUAGAGUCCGGAAGAGGAGUGUGGAAUUCCCGGUGUAGCGGUGAAAUGCGCAGAUAUCGGGAAGAACACCCGUGGCGAAGGCGGCACUCUGGGACGGUACUGACGCUGAGACGCGAAAGCGUGGGGAGCGAACG
rnacentral:rRNA from 1 species